rnacentral:rRNA from 1 species
CCAAUAGCGUAUAUUAAAGUUGUUGCAGUUAAAAAGCUCGUAGUUGAAUUUCGGAAUCAAUUUGUUGGUCGUGCCUCGGUACGUACUGGUAUUAUUGGUUUCUACCUUCUGAAGAACCUUGAUGUCAUUAAUUUGGUGUCUUGGGGAAUCAGGACUGUUACUUUGAAAAAAUUAGAGUGUUUAAAGCAAGCAUACGCUUGAAUACAUUAGCAUGGAAUAAUGAAAUAGGACGUUUGAUUCUAUUUUGUUGGUUUCUAGGAUCGACGUAAUGAUUAAUAGGGAUAGUUGGGGGCAUUAGUAUUCAAUUGUCAGAGGUGAAAUUCUUGGAUUUAUUGAAGACUAACUACUGCGAAAGCAUUUGCCAAGGAUGUUUUCAUUAAUCAAGAACGAAAGUUAGGGGAUCGAAGACGAUCAGAUACCGUCGUAGUCUUAACCAUAAACUAUGCCGACUAGGGAUCGGAUGAUGUUAAUUUUUUAAUGACUCAUUCGGCGCCUUAC